UCACGUCUACUGUUUGCUCAUAUAUUGCUCCACCUUACAGACGAAACAUGACACUGUCAUCAACGUUUGGAGUAUGACAAGAUUUUCGACAGUGAUCUAAUGUUCAUUAGAUUUUCAGUUUGCUCAAAGGGGAUCUUUACACUGUAGUCUAAGAGGUAUAUAAGUUACAAGAGAAAUAAAAAGGUAUAAUUCUAUACAUGAAGUCAAGGCCGAUUUAUGCAACUCUACACUUCCGGACAAUGUUAGGCUCACGUCUAAUGUUUGCUCAUAUAUUGCUCCACCUUACAGACGAAACAUGACACUGUCAUCAACGUUUGGAGUAUGACAAGAUUUUCGACAGUGAUCUAAUGUUCAUUAGAUUUUCAGUUUGCUCAAAAGGGAUCUUUACACUGUAGUCUAAGAGGUAUAUAAGUUACAAGAGAAAUUAAAAGAGUCCUUUACUACACAGUUGUUCGAGAAGGGACAUCCGGCGAACAUUUCACUAAAAUAAGCAUCUUUUCUUUAUGUUGAGUUAGGUGCAAGGUCCAUUUUCUGAACAUAAGCGUUU
rnacentral:lncRNA from 1 species